AUUGAACGCUGGCGGCAGGCCUAACACAUGCAAGUCGAGCGGAUGAAGGGAGCUUUCUCCUGGAUUCAGCUGCGGACGGGUGAGUAAUGCCUAGGAAUCUGCCUGGUAGUUGGGGAUAACGUCCGGAAACGGGCGCUAAUACCGCAUACGUCCUGAGAGAGAAACGGAGGGUUCUUUGGACCACACCCGAUUAGCUGUCCCUAGGUGGUAUUAGCUAGUUGGUGAGGUAAAGGCCUACCAAGGCGACGAUCCGUAGCGGCCCUGAGAGGAUGAUCAGUCACACUGGAACUGAGACACGGUCCAGACUCCUACGGGAGGCAGCAGUGGGGAAUAUUGGGCAAUGGGCGAAAGCCUGACGGAGCAAUGCCGCGUGAGUGAAGAAGGUCUUCGGAUCGUAAAGCACUUUAAUUUGGGAGGAAGAAAAGUAUGUUUAACCCUGCAUGUCUUGACGUUACCAAAACAGAAAGCCACGGCUAACUUCGUG
rnacentral:rRNA from 1 species